rnacentral:rRNA from 1 species
CUUGGUCAUUUAGAGGAAGUAAAAGUCGUAACAAGGUUUCCGUAGGUGAACCUGCGGAAGGAUCAUUCAUAACAAGUGUUUUAUGGCACUUUUUAAAUCCAUAUCCACCUUGUGUGCAAUGUCAGUCGAUCUUCUUCAUGGAGAUCGACCAAACAUCAACCUUUAUUUUUUAACUCUUUGUCUGAAAAAUAUUAUGAAUAAACAAUUCAAAAUACAACUUUCAACAACGGAUCUCUUGGCUCUCGCAUCGAUGAAGAACGCAGCGAAAUGCGAUACGUAAUGUGAAUUGCAGAAUUCAGUGAAUCAUCGAAUCUUUGAACGCAUAUUGCGCUCUUUGGUAUUCCGAAGAGCAUGCUUGUUUGAGUAUCAGUAAACACCUCAAAGCUUUUGGAUUUUUUAAUCGAAAAGCUUUGGACUUGAGCAAUCCCAACACCAAUCUUUUUGAGAUCGGUGGCGGGUUGCUUGAAAUGCAGGUGCAGCUGGACAUUCUCCUGAGCUAAAAGCAUAUUCAUUUAGUCCCGUCAAACGGAUUAUUACUUUUGCUGCAGCUAACAUAAAGGGAGUUUGACCGUAUUGGCUGACUGAUGCAGGAUUUCACAAGGGUCGGCAACGAUUCUUGUUAAACUCGAUCUCAAAUCAAGUAAGACUACCCGCUGAACUUAAGCAUAUCAAUAAGCGGAGGA